GCUUGACUGCGAGACAGACACGUCGAGCAGGUACGAAAGUAGGUCUUAGUGAUCCGGUGGUUCUGUAUGGAAGGGCCAUCGCUCAACGGAUAAAAGGUACUCCGGGGAUAACAGGCUGAUACCGCCCAAGAGUUCAUAUCGACGGCGGUGUUUGGCACCUCGAUGUCGGCUCAUCACAUCCUGGGGCUGAAGCCGGUCCCAAGGGUAUGGCUGUUCGCCAUUUAAAGUGGUACGCGAGCUGGGUUUAGAACGUCGUGAGACAGUUCGGUCCCUAUCUGCCGUGGACGUUUGAGAUUUGAGAGGGGCUGCUCCUAGUACGAGAGGACCGGAGUGGACGAACCUCUGGUGUUCCGGUUGUCACGCCAGUGGCAUUGCCGGGUAGCUAUGUUCGGAAAAGAUAACCGCUGAAAGCAUCUAAGCGGGAAACUUGCCUCAAGAUGAGAUCUCACUGGGAACUUGAUUCCCCUGAAGGGCCGUCGAAGACUACGACGUUGAUAGGCUGGGUGUGUAAGCGUUGUGAGGCGUUGAGCUAACCAGUACUAAUUGCCCGUGAGGCUUGACCAU
rnacentral:rRNA from 1 species